UACGGAGGAUCCAAGCGUUAUCCGGAUUUACUGGGUGUAAAGGGAGCGUAGACGGCAGCGCAAGUCUGGAGUGAAAUGCCGGGGCCCAACCCCGGAACUGCUUUGGAAACUGUGCAGCUUGAGUGCGGGAGAGGUAAGUGGAAUUCCUAGUGUAGCGGUGAAAUGCGUAGAUAUUAGGAGGAACACCAGUGGCGAAGGCGGCUUACUGGACCGUAACUGACGUUGAGGCUCGAAAGCGUGGGGAGCAAACAGG
rnacentral:rRNA from 1 species